AUACUUACCCGUAAGGAAGGGGCGAUAGCAUAAUCACAAAGGUGGUUUUCCCAGGGUUAGGGUUGUCCAUUGCACUCGGAUUGUGCUGACCCUGUGAUUUCCCCAAAUGUGGGAAACUAAACUGCAUAAUUUGUGGUAGUGGGGACUGAGUUUGCACUCUCCCCU